rnacentral:rRNA from 1 species
GAUGAACGCUGGCGGCGUGCUUAACACAUGCAAGUCGAGCGAUGAAGUUUCCUUCGGGAAACGGAUUAGCGGCGGACGGGUGAGUAACACGUGGGUAACCUGCCUCAUAGAGUGGAAUAGCCUUCCGAAAGGAAGAUUAAUACCGCAUAAUGUUGAAAGAUGGCAUCAUCAUUUAACCAAAGGAGCAAUCUGCUAUGAGAUGGACCCGCGGCGCAUUAGCUAGUUGGUGGGGUAACGGCCUACCAAGGCGACGAUGCGUAGCCGACCUGAGAGGGUGAUCGGCCACAUUGGGACUGAGACACGGCCCAGACUCCUACGGGAGGCAGCAGUGGGGAAUAUUGCACAAUGGGGGAAACCCUGAUGCAGCAACGCCGCGUGAGUGAUGAAGGUUUUCGGAUCGUAAAGCUCUGUCUUUGGGGAAGAUAAUGACGGUACCCAAGGAGGAAGCCACGGCUAACUACGUGCCAGCAGCCGCCGCCG